UUUGAAACUUGAAAGUGAAACCUUCUUCUUUGAAACACCAGUCCACUGCCAUCGACGUCCGACCCACCGUCCACUGUCCACCGUCGUCAACUCGUCCGUCCGUCACGCUGCAAGUCGCCACUCCCACGCCGCCAGCCGCCACCCAGGCCACCGCCACAGCAGCCAGCAGCACUGCCAGUCGUCAAUUGCCGCCCACCGGCUCUCCACAGGCCCACAACCACCCCUCUCAUUCAUCUCUCAACUCUCAUCUCUCGUUUUCGUCACUCGUAAGUUUCUUAUGCCUUUAUAAAACACAUCCAAAAAUAUAAAUAACAACAACAACAACAACAAUAAUAAUAAUAAUAAUAGUAGUAGUAGUACUAGUAGUGAAAGAAAGAAGAUAACCAAGUUUGUGAAAAUAUUUUUUUCUUUUCUGUGCUCUGCAAAUCAUUAUUUUUGUUAGUCUUAAUUGUAUGAUUUUUUUGUUUUUCCAUUAUUUGCUAAUACUAAAUGAUUUUUAUCUUAUGACUUUUUUUUAAUUAAUAAUUACAAUUAUAAAAUUAGAAUGAUUCUUUAUGAUUUACAAUAGAUGAAGAAAAUUUCAGUACUCAUAUAGAUUAAAAAUAAUAGUGUGGGUAAUAUUUUUUUUGGAGUUUUGUGUAGUCUUGUGUCUUGACUUUUCAUAGUUUUUUUAUUAUUAUAGAUUGAGUCGAUAUUUAGUUAUUACGAUGGCCGUUUUACCAUUUUUUAAUUAAAUUUGAUUAAAUCGAAACCGAACCGAAAUAAACCGAACCGAAUUUAUAAUAACCGAACCAAACCGAAUUUAUUUCGGUUUUGUUUGGUUUCAUAUUUGGCCAAACCGAAAAUCGAAAAUCGAAACGAUAUUUACGAACCGAACCGAACCGACCGAACGCCCAGGCCUAGCUAUAAAUGAUAAAUAUUUUUUAAAAUAUUAUAUAUUUAGGUAAGUUUCUCGCUUAAAUACCCCAAGGCGUAUCAUAGUAUAAUAAUGUCUAGGAAAGUUCAAAUUGUUAAACCGAUUUGAUUAACAAUAAAUCUAUUGUAUUUAUGUGGGGCCUAUUGUAUUUACUUAAUACAUCAUUCUUCAAAAAGUUAAUUAUUUUACUUGAUUUUAUGAUUAAUUGGAUAGUUUGAUUGGAUUUGGCCCUAAUAUGAUCUAUAUAAUUAUUGUGGCAUCUUGUAUUGUUCUAUGGGUAAAAUUGGUAUUUAAAAACAAUUAAAGUGGUUCGUGUUGUAAAAUCAGGAUUAUAGGAAGAAGACAAGAGAAAUAGAUGUAGGAGAAGACUUUCUUCUUAUUCAAGUAUAUAUAAGUUUCAUAUAUAUAUAUAUAUAUAUAUAUAUAUAUAUAUAUAUAUAUAUAUUACAAUAGUGAAUGAACAACCCUAUUUAUAGAGUGAGAAAUCAUUCCAAAGGUCACCAUAUUAAGUAUCAUAAUAAAUAGAUGCAUACUUAUCCAAAAAGGUUCAUGUAACCUAGUGAAUAUGAAUGGUUGUUCAUGUACUAACUUUAUGGACUAUCCACUUAUUUAAUGGAUUUAUAACACUCCCCCUUGGAUGUCCAUAGAUACUGUGUCUCGUUAAAACCUUACUAGAAAAAAAAACCCUGUGGGAAAAAAUUCUAGUAAAGGAAAAAGAGUACACAUAUCUUUUGAUACGCAUUAUUUGCUGCCUCAUUAAAAACCUUUCUAGGAAAACCCAAUGAGACAAAACCUAGAUUAAGGAAAAAAGAGUACAGUGCGUAUUUUACUCCCCCUGAUAAAAACCACGAUUCAGAUGGUUAAGUUUCCGCAUUCCAAUUUUGUGAACCAUCUUCUCAAGAGUUGAGGCGGUAAAGAUUUAGUAAAUAAAUCUGCUGGAUUAUCACUCGAACGAAUUUGUCGCACAUCAAUAUCACCAUUCUUCUGGAGAUCAUGUGUGAAGAAUAAUUUUGGUGAAAUGUGUUUCGUUCUAUCUCCUUUUAUAAAGCCUCCUUUUAAUUGAGCUAUGCAUGUAACAUUGUCUUCAAAGAGUAUUGUGGGUAUCUUGACGUCACACUUCAAACCACAUCUUUCUUUGAUAGAAUGUAUUUCUGAUCUUAACCAUACACAUUCUCUACUUGCUUCAUGAAUGACUAUUAUCUCAGCAUGAUUUGAAGAAGUAGCGACAAUAGACUGCUUCGUAGAUCGCCAUGAUAUAGUAGUACCUCCAUAUGUGAACAGAUAGCAUGUUUGUGAUCGAGCUUUAUGUGGGUCAGAUAAAUAACCUGCAUCUGCAUGACCAACAAGAUCUGCACUAUCUUUGUUAGUAUAAAAUAGACUCAUAUCACUAGUUCCCCUUAGAUAUCGCAAUAUAUGUUUAACUCCUUUCCAAUGUCUUCGUGUAGGGGAAGAACUAUAUCUUGCUAACAAAUUAACAGAAAAUGCUAUGUCAGGUCUCGUAGCAUUAGCAAGAUACAUAAGUGCCCCAAUUGCACUAAGAUAAGGUACUUCUGGACCAAGAGGUUCCUCGUUCUCUUCUUGAGGUCGGAAUGGAUCGUUACUCACUUCAAGUGAUCGGACAACCAUUGGAGUACUCAAUGGAUGUGCUUUGUCCAUGUAAAAUCGUUUCAAGAUUUUCUCAGUAUAGUCAGAUUGAUGGAUGAAGACCCCGUCUACUAAAUAUUCUAUUUGUAGUCCAAGACAAAUUUUUGUCUUUCCAAUGUCUUUCAUCUCAAAUUCUUCCUUUAGAUAUUCAAUUGCCUUUUGAACCUCUUCUGGAGUUCCAAUGAGAUUAAUGUCAUCAACAUAAACAUCAAGAAUAACAAACUCCAAUGUUGUUUUCUUAAUAAAUAUACAAGGACAAAUGACAUCGUUCAUAUAACCUUGUUUUAUCAAGUACUCACUGAGAGGAUUAUACCACAUGCGCCCUGAUUGUUUUAAGCCAUAUAAUGACUUUUGUAAUCUGAUUGAAUAUAUUUCUCGAGAUUUUGAACUACAUGCUUCAGGCAUUUUAAGUCCUUCUGGAACUUUCAUAUAAAUUUUAUUAUCAAGUGAACCGUAAAGGUAAGUUGUAACCACAUCCAUUAGAUGAAUUUCAAGAUUUUCAUGUACAGCUAAAUCGAUGAGAUAUCGAAAAGUUAUUGCAUCCAUAACAUGUGAAUAUGUUUCUUCAUAGUCGACUCCAGGUCGUUGAGAGAAUCCUUGUGCAACAAGGCGUGUCUUGUAUCUUACAAUCUCAUUUCUCUCAUUUCUUUUUCGUACAAAGACCCAUUUAUAGCCAAUUGGUUUAACAUCACUAGGCGUUUGGACUACUGGUCCAAAAACCUCACGCUUAGUAAGUGAAUUCAAUUCUGAUUGAAUUGCUUCUUGCCAUUUUGGCCAAUCAUGUCUUUGUCGACAUUCUUCGAGGGAUAGAGGUUCAAGAUCCUCAUUUCCUUGCAUAAUGUUAAGUGCAACAUCAUAUGCGAAAACAUUAUCCACUAUGAUUUUUGAUCGAUCUAAACUUAUCCCAUCACCUGUAGAAGAACUUAUUGAGAGUUCUUCAUUUACUUGAGUCUCGGGUUCACUGAAUUCUUCAGGAAUAUCAGGAUUAAUCAGAUCUUGAAUUUCUUCGUGAAAUUCUUUUGUAGUGUCAUUUUUUGUACUUCUUUUUCUAGGAUUCUAAUCUUCUGAACCCAAUGGCAUACCACGCUUCAGGCGUAUUUAUGAUUCAGAAGCUAUGACACUUAUAGAUGGUCCUUUUGGGACGUCGAUUCGGAUAGGCACAUUUACUGCAGGAAUAUGUGACUUUGUUAUCCUUUUUGAAUCAGUAAAUGCGUCUGGCAUUUGAUUUGCUAUGUUUUGCAAAUGGAUGAUCUUCUGGACCUCUUGUUCACACACAGGGGAGCGUGGAUCAAAAUGAGAUAAUGAUGAAACUUUCCAUGCAAUUUCACUUUUAAGUUUAUUUUUCUCUCCCCCUAAUUGCGGAAAAUUUGUUUCAUCAAAUCGACAAUCUGCAAAUCUUGCAAUGAAUAAAUCUCCCGCCAAUGGCUCAAGGUAGCGAAUAUUGAGGGUGAAUCAAACCCAACAUAUAUGCCUAACCUUCUUUGAGGGCCCAUCUUGGUGCGCUGAGGUGGUGCUACAGGCACAUAUACAGCACAUCCAAAAAUUCGAAGAUGAGCAGUAUUUGGUUCAUGACCAAAUACCAAUUGUAAUGGGGAGUAAUUAUUAUAAUGAGUCGGUCUGAGACGAACAAGUGAUGCUGCAUGUAAGAUAGCAUAACCCCAAACAGUAGUAGGCAACUCACUUUUCAUAAGUAGAGGUCUUGCUAUCAAUUGUAAGCGCUUAAUAAAUGACUCAGCAAGGCCAUUUUGAGUAUGAAUAUGAGCUACAGGAUGUUCAACUUUUAUCCCUACCGAUACGCAAUAAGCAUCAAAAGCUUGGGAUGUGAAUUCGCCAGCAUUAUCAAGACGAAUUGUCUUAAUGGGAUAAUCUGGAAAUUGCGCUCUUAAUUGUAUCAUUUGUGCCAAUAAUUUUGCAAACGCCAGGUUGGGAGAUGAUAAGAGGCACACAUGAGACCAUCUUGAAGAUGCGUCUAUUGGGACCAUAAAAUAUCUAAACGACCCACUAGAUGGGUGAAUAGGUCCACAAAUAUCCCCAUGUAUUCGUUCCAAAAAUUGAGGGGAUUCAAUGUUAACCUUCAUUGGUGAUGGCCUAGUAAUCAAUUUGCCUUGGCAGCAAGCAGCACACGAAAACUCAUCAUUUGUAAGAAUCUUUAAGUUCUUUAAUGGAUGACCAUUUGAGUUUUCAAUGAUGCGUCUCAUCAUUGUUGAUCCAGGAUGACCUAUUCGGUCAUGCCAAAGCACAAAAGUCUCUAAGUCAGUAAACUUCUGGUUUACGAUGGAGUGUGCUUCAAUCGUACUUAUUUUUGCACAAUACAGGCCAGAAGAUAAAGUUGAUAAUUUCUCCAAUACAUAUUUCUGGUUUGAGACAAUCUUGGUAAUACCAAGGUAUUCAACAUUCAUUUCAUUUAUUGUCUCAACAUGAUAUCCAUUUCGGCGAAUAUCUUUAAAACUUAACAUGUUUCUUGGGGAUUUAGAAGAAAACAAAGCAUCUUCUAUGACAAGUUUUGUCCCCUUAGGCAGAAAUAUAGUAGCUCUUCCGGAGCCUUCUAUUAAGUUUGAAUUACCAGAAAUUGUAGUAACAUUUGCUUUUCUUCUAAGCAAGUAGGAGGAGUAUUUCUCACCUUUGAAUAUGGCGUGCGUUGUUCCACUAUCAAUUAUACAAAUAUCUUCAUGAUUGAUCAUUGAGGUAUCCAUAUAUUCUUCAAGAUAAAAGAUAUAAAAGAAAUAAACAUUAUACCUUUUAGUUAUUUACAAAUCUAGGAAAACAUAUUCAUACUAGUUCAUAUAAACGACGAAAAUGAAAUAUAUUUAUAUUAUUACAGACCCAUCACCUAUCAGGUGAUCUAUCUUUCCUUCGGGGUUCUCAAAGAAAUCCGCUACAUCUAGAUGCAUGGGUUCAACAGUAUCUUCCGUGAUAAAGUUGGCUUCUGCGUUAUUUUUCACCUCCUUCAGGGAAGCUUGAUAUAACUCAACCAGGUGCCUUGGCGUACGACAGGUACGUGACCAAUGUCCUUUUCCUCCACAUCGAUAACAUUUGUUGUCUGAACUUUUCUUCUGCACUGCGUCAUGUUUUUCAUUCUUCUUUUUACACUGCUGGUGUUGAAUGUUAUUAUUUAGUGCAAGACGAUCACCAUGAUUAAAAUUUCUUCCUCGACCACGACC
rnacentral:lncRNA from 1 species